AUGUUUUCCCUCUUCGCCGGUAUCACCUCCUACCGCGUUAGGUCACACCCGGCACAUCUUAUUGCCAUGUUAUGCUUUGUGGUGCUAUGUUUGCUUUAUAUUUACUGUUUCUUCCCCCUCUUCUCCCCGGUAGACCCCGAGAUCGAUGCUGGCCUUGUGAUCGACUACGUCGACGACGACCCCUUCUUGCCAGAGCAACCAGGCAAGCAAGCCCCCCUUGAGCAUUCCGAUAUCGCCCAUUUCUUUCCCUCUCAUGCUUGCAUUAGAACUGCUACUGUUUUCUGUAUGAUCCUACUCUGA
rnacentral:rRNA from 1 species